rnacentral:rRNA from 1 species
UACGGGGGGAGCAAGCGUUGUUCGGAUUUACUGGGCGUAAAGGGCGCGUAGGCGGCCACCGCAAGUCGACUGUGAAAUCUCCGGGCUUAACCCGGAAACUGCCAUUGAUACUAUUUAUCUUGAAUACUUUGGAGGUAAGCGGAAUAUGUCAUGUAGCGGUGAAAUGCUUAGAUAUGACAUAGAACACCAAUUGCGAAGGCAGCUUACUACACAGUGAUUGACACUGAGGCACGAAAGCGUGGGGAUCAAACAGG